rnacentral:rRNA from 1 species
CGGGGUAACGGCCCACCAAGGCAACGAUCAGUAGCCGGACUGAGAGGUUGAACGGCCACAUUGGGACUGAGACACGGCCCAGACUCCUACGGGAGGCAGCAGUGGGGAAUAUUGCACAAUGGGGGGAACCCUGAUGCAGCGACGCCGCGUGAGGGAAGAAGGUUUUCGGAUUGUAAACCUCUGUCUUGUGGGACGAUAAUGACGGUACCACAGGAGGAAGCCAUGGCUAACUAC